GACUCAGAGAGACGACUUCGGCGCGAAUCACAAACUGCUGUCUAGUCACGAGGCGAAUUUGUUGUGACGUGAUCUUGUUUGAACCCUCGUUUUGUCAUGUCCGCUUGAUGUCCCCUUGGAAUUCUGUUGAGGGCCCCUGGUUGAGAAACAUUGUCUUGAGGGUCGAUACAAUGUUUGGCUUUUCCUCUCCCGUGGUGAUAUUGGGGUCAUCUCCAUUAUACCGCCAUGCUGUAUAUCUGGAAUACGUGUGAGGGUAUUUUUCCUGUUUGACAACAUUCAUUGUUUGCAUGCCUGUGGGUGCCGUCAUAAACCUGAAGGACCAGCACAUUAACCUUCUCAAAUGACAGCAUUGAUGUGAACCGCACCCUUCAGUGCACCUGUUCCUGGUUCACCUCCAAGUUGAAGUGUUCGGAUUUAGUGAAGGAGCUUUGCUGCCAUCUAGUGGGAAGGCAGAUAUGUGCAUCAUUUGUGGGCCCUGUGGUGUAACUUCACUACUGGACUCACCUGCAUUAUGAACACAGCUCCAUCUACAGGCUCAGUGGGCUAAAUGUUACCAUUUAUCUUGUCUUACCGACACCUAAAGAAAAAACGUUUUAAUGGUUUCACAUAAAAACAUAAUUUAUAUAAUUUCAUAUUUAUGUAGUUUUUUUCUUAGAUUGACAAAUUUCUUGAAGUAAACAUCUUAGGUCUAAACAUAAAAAAAUCACUGUUAAGGCAUGUUAUGUUCCCUGAAUGGUGUUGGAAACUAUAAGAUGCACACUAUCUGGAUUUUACAUUUAAAGAAAAUUA